UGACCAAAAGCAACACAGGGCACACAAGCU
rnacentral:piRNA from 1 species